GACGAACGCUGGCGGCGUGCUUAACACAUGCAAGUCGAACGGAAAGGCCCUGCUUUUGUGGGGUGCUCGAGUGGCGAACGGGUGAGUAACACGUGAGUAACCUGCCCUUGACUUUGGGAUAACUUCAGGAAACUGGGGCUAAUACCGCAUAGGAGCUCCUGCUGCAUGGCGUGGGUUGGAAAGUUUCGGCGGCUGGGGUUGGACUUGCGGCUUAUCAGCUUGUUGGUGGGGGAGCGGCAUACCAAGGCGUUGACGGGUAGCCGGCCUGGGAGGGUGACCGGCCACAGUGGGACUGAGGUACGGCCCAGACUCCUACGGGAGGCAGCAGUGGGGAACAUUGCACAAUGGGCGGAAGCCUGAUGCAGCAACGCCGCGUGCGGGAUGACGGCCUUCGGGUUGUAAACCGCUUUCGCCUGUGACGAAGCGUGAGUGACGGUAAUGGGUAAAGAAGCAACGGCUAACUACGUG
rnacentral:rRNA from 1 species